AUAAAAUAUCAGUUAUCAUCAUUGUGUGAAUACUUACCCAUAAACUAUAAGAGCUAUCGAUAUCUUCAUAUUCGUCCUCCAAGGUAAUCAUACUGUUGCUGUUACCAAAUUUGGUAAUUAAUGCAAUUUUUUCAUGAAAAUCUUAAAUGGGAUCUUUUUUUAUCAUUUUUAUCAAAAUGAUAAUCUGCACGUCAGAAUUGCUUCAUAAAAAUUUGGUUAACUUUGCACACUAGAAAGAGAUUCUAUAGCUUACAAGAUAAAAUGAACUUUGACUGAAUUUAAGAAAGAAGGGAGUAAGCAUUUGUUUUAGAUGAUUUGAGUGAAAAACUAAUAAAAACUCUCCGAAGUAUUAGAUACUUACUUAAACGACUAUCGUAGUGUGUUUUUAUUAAAUUUCUGAAAGAUUAAUGAUACGUAUGACUGAGAAAAAUAUUUAAAUGAAGAGUUUAUGUAUGUCUGACUUUUAUCAUGUUUAUGAACCUCAUGUGCCGUAUUCAAAUGCACAAAAUCUUCUAAUAUCUUAAAAUAAAGAUGGUAAUCAGUAGAUUCUGACCGAUUAAAACAAAAAAUUAAUGGUUUUUGCAUCAUUGAUCAAUACUCCAGCCUGAUUGGUGUAAUACUGGAAAGGAAAUAAUGAAAAUGUAAUUCAUAUCCUCUGUAUCAGGUAAAAAAAAAUAUUACAAUGGAAAUCAAGAAGCAAUUCCAUGAUUAAAGAGAGAGAGAGAGAGAGAGAGAGAGAGAGAACAUUUGAAAAUUAAUCAAUCACAUUAAAGGUUUAUUGCAAACGGUUGGUUUCUUUUUCACAAAAUCUUUUGGAUCGAAAAAAAAGACCUUGAAAAUUGGGAAAAAAAAUCACUUCAUAUCUAAAUCAAUUUGUGUCUCAUUAACCGUCUACAAAAGCGAUACGCAACUACAUUGUUUCGUUGUUUGCACGGAGAGAAAAUGAUUUGGUUACCUUUUAGGUAAGUUAUUUAUUUGUACAAUACUCUAUUUAAAAAAAAUUCUUAUAAAAAUCAUUUGAUGAAACGAUAGAGAAGAAAAACACCUUAUAUAUAAUUGUCAAUUCGUUUUCAAUACUAAUGUACAGCAUAUUGUAACUAAAAAGAUGUUAUAAAAAAGGCACCUGAACAGGUAAGAUUUUUUUAUACAUUCAAUUACAUUUACUCGCACAUGUGUAUUUCAAGACCCUGUUAUUAAUAGAAAUUGAAUUCAAAGUGUUCCUUAAAAUUUCCUUAUUUCCAAAAAUACUUUUUACACCUAUUCAAGGUAAGUAAAUGCAUGCCGGGUCUCAGUGGUAGAUACGCUGAAAAAUAUUGCAUCUUUAACUCAUUUUCUUUGAUCAGCAUUCUGUUUUUCUCUCCCUUUUUUUUUGUUUGUUUUAAAGGCACUUUUCCAUUAAAAAAUGUUCGUAUCAAAUUUUUAAUAAGUAAUUUUUUAUUUUCAAUAAAUUCUUUCAUUUUCCAAUCUUUUUUUUUCUUACAGAGUACAAAGAAUACAUAUUUAUUUUUUACUCUAAUACGAAGUUUUAAUAAAUUCAAAUAUUUUGUUUUAUAUUAGAAAUGUUAUUUUGAACAAUUUUGACUCAUAUUUUUAAUUAAAUUUCCCGGGUUUAAUCCCACAGUGGGACUUGGAGACCGGUCCCUCGGAUGAGACCGUAUAAACCGAGGUCCCGUGUCGCUGUAGGUGCUGGCACGAAAAAGAACCCCACUGCUCAAUGGCCCUAAGUGCUGAGUAUAGGACAAAAUUUGCAGCUCUCCACCGGCAAGUGGUGGCGUCUCCAUGUGAGUGAAAAAUUCUCGAAAGGGACGUUAAACAAUAUAAAUCAAUCAAUCAAUCUAUUAGAUAUAAAUGUUUAUUUGACGAGGUUAUAAAGAAUUAAUCUUUUCUUUUCUUUUUUGUUGUAUCUAAAGCAUGGAGGUAAACCAAUUCUAUAUCAAAAUUGAACAUUUCUGGAAAAAAAAUAAGCAUCGACAAACACAUUUAUUUAAACUCAAACUGACACAAACAAUAAGAAGACUGGGGUAGCGAAGUGGUUAACGUUCUCAAUGUUUGGCAUUGUUAUACUCAGAGAAAAAAUCGUCCCUUUAUUCCGUUAAUAGAGAAAAAAUCAACACAAUUUAUCUAGAUGCUGAAGGGUUUCUCCAAAAAUAAUCCAAAAAUAUACCAUCACAAUAGAAAAAAAAAUUAAUAAAAUCAUAGCAAAAAACCCUAGUGCUAGAAGUCUACACUCAGAUAAUUUAUUUAAAACAAAAAUAGAACAAGCUCUGGUGUUAUACAUGUACAUACAUUGUAAAUUUAUAAAGCAUUCUCAAUAAAUCUGCAAGAUAUUAUCGUUAUUUUAGAGUCAAGAAAAAUGCAUAGCAAUAAGAAUAAUACAUAAAGAGCACAAAUAAUAAGGUUUAAGGCCUAGGAUCUCACACAGGCCAGCUCCUCUGUAUCCUCCAUUGAUUUAAGGAGGCAGCUCCCCAUUUUUACACCCUCCAGCUCAAGAAACCAAUUUAUGAGCAAUCAACUACCGUAUCCCUUACGGACGACAACAAACCAAACAGGGUGCAAGUCUCCUCUCUAGUGAAAUUAUCACAAUGGCCAAUUAAUCACCACAACUCCAACAAUUCAAAUGCUAAAGUUCAAAGAGAAAAACAAAACAAGAUGUGUUUUUGAAACACUGAUGCCCCUGUAUCGCAGCUUAUGGAGACGAUCAUGGUUUCUCAGAUGCAAACAAAACUUCAUGGUCAAGGCCUAAAGGUUAAAAUUGCUGUAUAUUUUGAACUUAAAAAUACUAAUGUUCUUGGGAAUCUAUAAAAUCCACCAAAGAACUACCAAAAGAUAUCCAACAACGAAUGACCAAUAAGAAAACUUAGUAUCCAGAGAAAUGAAUGAUUUACAAAGCAGCUGAAGUUUCAGCAAAUACAUAAAAACCAAUUCAAGCUAUGCUGUUAUGAAUGGGACACCAAUGGAAUUAGAUGUGUGCAAAAUGCCAGAGAGCAUGGUUCGGAAUUUAACACACAUGCCAGCUCUUCAUCCAACCAUGAUUAUGGUAGAUUUAACAAGUACGAA